rnacentral:rRNA from 1 species
ACGGGAGGCAGCAGUGGGGAAUAUUGGGCAAUGGACGAAAGUCUGACCCAGCGACGCCGCGUGAGGGAAGAAGGUCUUCGGAUUGUAAACCUCUUUCAGCAGGGAAGAAGAAAGUGACGGUACCUGCAGAAGAAGUCACGGCUAACUACGUGCCAGCAGCCGCGGUAAUACGUAGGUGGCGAGCGUUAUCCGGAAUUACUGGGUGUAAAGGGUGUGUAGGCGGAGAGGCAAGUCAGGCGUGAAAUUCAGAGGCUCAACCUCUGGACUGCGCUUGAAACUGUCUUCCUUGAGUGUUGGAGAGGUAAACGGAAUUCCUAGUGUAGUAGUGAAAUGCGUAGAUAUUAGGAGGAACACCGGUGGCGAAGGCGGUUUACUGGACAACAACUGACGCUGAGACACGAAAGCGUGGGGAGCAAACAGGAUUAGAUACCCUGGUA